rnacentral:rRNA from 1 species
GAUGAACGCUGGCGGCGUGCCUAAUACAUGCAAGUCGAGCGAAUGGAUUAAGAGCUUGCUCUUAUGAAGUUAGCGGCGGACGGGUGAGUAACACGUGGGUAACCUGCCCAUAAGACUGGGAUAACUCCGGGAAACCGGGGCUAAUACCGGAUAACAUUUUGAACCGCAUGGUUCGAACUUGAAAGGCGGCUUCGGCUGUCACUUAUGGAUGGACUCGCGUCGCAUUAGCUAGUUGGUGAGGUAACGGCCCACCAAGGCGAAGAUGGGUAGCCGGCCUGAGAGGGUGUACGGCCACACUGGGACUGAGAUACGGCCCAGACUCCUACGGGAGGCAGCAGUGGGGAAUCUUGCGCAAUGGACGAAAGUCUGACGCAGCGACGCCGCGUGGAGGAUGACGGUCUUCGGAUUGUAAACUCCUGUUAAGUGGAAAGAAAGCCACACUUCAAAUAGUUGUGUGGGAUGACGGUACCAUUAGAGAAAGUCACGGCAAACUUCGUGCCAGCCGCCGCCGUAA